GAUGAACGCUGGCGGCGUGCCUAAUACAUGCAAGUCGAGCGAACAGAUAAGGAGCUUGCUCCUUUGACGUUAGCGGCGGACGGGUGAGUAACACGUGGGUAACCUACCUAUAAGACUGGGAUAACUUCGGGAAACCGGAGCUAAUACCGGAUAACAUUUUGAACCGCAUGGUUCUAAAGUGAAAGAUGGUUUUGCUAUCACUUAUAGAUGGACCCGCGCCGUAUUAGCUAGUUGGUAAGGUAACGGCUUACCAAGGCGACGAUACGUAGCCGACCUGAGAGGGUGAUCGGCCACACUGGAACUGAGACACGGUCCAGACUCCUACGGGAGGCAGCAGUAGGGAAUCUUCCGCAAUGGGCGAAAGCCUGACGGAGCAACGCCGCGUGAGUGAUGAAGGGUUUCGGCUCGUAAAACUCUGUUAUUAGGGAAGAACAAAUGUGUAAGUAACUGUGCACGUCUUGACGGUACCUAAUCAGAAAGCCACGGCUAACUACGUG
rnacentral:rRNA from 1 species